rnacentral:rRNA from 1 species
GAUGAACGCUGGCGGCGUGCCUAAUACAUGCAAGUCGAGCGAACAGACGAGAGUGCUUGCACUCUCUGGCGUUAGCGGCGGGCGUGUGAGUAACACGUGUGUCACCUACAUAUAAGACUGGUAUAACUUCGGGAAACCGGAGCUAAUACCGGAUAAUAUUUAACUUCGCAUGAAGCAAUAGAGAAAGAGGUUUCUGCUGUCACUUAUAGAUGGACCCGCGGUGUAUUAGCUAGUUGGUGAGGUAACGGCUUACCAAGGCAACGAUGCAUAGCCGACCUGAGAGGGUGAUCGGCCACACUGGAACUGAGACACGGCCCAGACUCCUACGGGAGGCAGCAGUAGGGAAUCUUCCGCAAUGGGCGAAAGCCUGACGGAGCAAUGCCGCGUGAGUGAAGAAGGUUUUCGGAUCGUAAAACUCUGUUAUAAGGGAAGAACAAGUAUGUUAGUAACUGAGCGUACCUUGACGGUACCUAACCAGAAAGCCACGGCUAACUACGUG